GUUUGACACUGCAAGUGAUUAUGGCAAGAUUUAGAAUUUUUAUAUUAUUUUAGGAUUAAAAAUUCAUAUUUAUUCCACUUGACUGUUGAAAGUGCUAGUUUGUCGUAAACUUUCUGACGCGCUGUUUUACCCGCGGACCAAGUGCAAGUCUAAAGAUAGCAAGCGUUUCCUAAAAGCAAAGAUAAUGCACGAAUUACGAAUAUUAUGGAUAGUUAUAUUAUUCAUG
rnacentral:lncRNA from 1 species